UGGUUAAACAAGGAAGGGCGCACGGUGGAUGCCUUGGCACUAGGCGCCGAAGAAGGACGGGACGAACACCGAUAUGCUUCGGGGAGCUGUAAGUAUGCUUGGAUCCGGAGAUGUCCGAAUGGGGGAACCCCUUCUCCGUCAUGGGAGAAGAUCAUCUGCCCAACUAAUUAAGCAGAUGAAGGCAGACCCGGCGAACUGAAACAUCUUAGUAGCCGGAGGAAGAGAAAGCAAACGCGAUUUCCUGAGUAGCGGCGAGCGAAACGGAAGCGAGCCCAAACCGGACGGCUUGCCGUCCGGGGUUGAAGGACACGCCAUACGGAGUGACAAAGGGGCGGCGUAGCGGAAGCGGCUUGGAACGGUCCGCCAUAGCAGGUAAGAGCCCUGUACGCGAAACGCUGCCCUCUCCGGCGUGGAUCCUGAGUACGGCGGGACACGAGAAACCCCGUCGGAAGCAGGGAGGCCCAUCUCCCAAGGCUAAAUACGACCUAGUGACCGAUAGUGAACCAGUACCGUGAGGGAAAGGUGAAAAGCACCCCGGGAGGGGAGUGAAAGAGAACCUGAAACCGUGUGCCUACAGGUGGUCAGAGCCCGUUCAUGGGUGAUGGCGUGCCUUUUGUAGAAUGAACCGGCGAGUGACGAUGGCGUGCGAGGUUAAGUUGAAGAGACGGAGCCGCAGCGAAAGCGAGUCUGAAGUGGGCGCGAAGUACGUCGACGUCGACCCGAAACCGUGUGAUCUACCCAUGUCCAGGGUGAAGGUCGGGUAACACCGACUGGAGGCCCGAACCCACGUAAGUUGAAAAUUACGGGGAUGAGGGGUGGGUAGGGGUGAAAUGCCAAUCGAACACGGAGAUAGCUGGUUCUCCCCGAAAUAGCUUUAGGGCUAGCCUCGGAGGAAGAGUCCUGGAGGUAGAGCACGGAUUGGAUGAGGGGUCCCCACAGGAUUACCGAGUUCAGUCAAACUCCGAAUGCCAGCGACUUGGUUUCCGGGAGUCAGACGGCGAGUGCUAAGAUCCGUCGUCAAGAGGGAAACAGCCCGGACCACCGGCUAAGGUCCCCAAGUAUGGAUUAAGUGGGAAAGGAUGUGGCGUUGCUUAGACAACCAGGAUGUUGGCUUAGAAGCAGCCAUCAUUGAAAGAGUGCGUAAUAGCUCACUGGUCGAGUGACGCUGCGCCGAAAAUGUACCGGGGCUAAAUCCAUCACCGAAGCCGUGGAUUCCGGAGGUCAGAUGUCAGAGGCCGGAAAUCAGAGAAAAGAGGAACGAAAAUGGCGAGCAGUUAUCGAGAAUUAAGAGUGUAUCAACUAUCUUAUGAUUUAGCACUUCAUGUGCAUCGAUUAACGCAAAGCUUUCCAGCCUUCGAAAGGUAUGAACUAGGGAGUCAACUAAGAAGAGCUGCAACAUCCAUACCUGUCAAUAUUGCCGAAGGAUAUGGCAAGAAGGGCAAGCAAUUGUAUCGAAUGAUCCAAAAUUGGAAAACGUAUUGAUUUCUGUCUCUGGUUUUUCCGAAUUCUGGUUUCUGAUAUCUGACCUCUGGAGUGGUAGGGGAGCGUUCGGUGUGCCGGGAAGGCCGACCGUGAGGACGGCUGGAGCGCACCGAAGUGAGAAUGCCGGUAUGAGUAGCGAAAAGAAGGGUGAGAAUCCCUUCCGUCGAAAACCUAAGGUUUCCUGAGGAAGGCUCGUCCGCUCAGGGUUAGUCGGGGCCUAAGCCGAGGCCGAAAGGCGUAGGCGAUGGAUAACUGGUGGAAAUUCCAGUACCACCGAUGGCUGUCAGACCGAAGGGGGGACGCAGAAAGGUAGGGCGAGCGCGCUGAUGGAGAAGCGCGUCGAAGCGACCGAGGCUGUUGGGCAGGCAAAUCCGCCCAACGUGAAGGCUGAGGCGUGACCGCGAGGGAAAUGAAGUACCGAAGUCCCCGAUCCUCCGCUGCCGAGAAAAGCCUCUAGGAAGGGCAUCGGUGCCCGUACCGCAAACCGACACAGGUAGGUGGGAUGAGAAUUCUAAGACGCGCGGGAGAACUCUCGUUAAGGAACUCGGCAAAAUGACCCCGUAACUUCGGGAGAAGGGGUGCUCCUUGGGGUUGAAAGCCCCGGGGAGCCGCAGUGACAAGGCCCAAGCGACUGUUUACCAAAAACACAGGUCUCUGCGAAGUCGAAAGACGAAGUAUAGGGGCUGACACCUGCCCGGUGCUGGAAGGUUAAGAGGAGGGCUUAGCGCUUAGGCGCGAAGGUCCGAAUUGAAGCCCCAGUAAACGGCGGCCGUAACUAUAACGGUCCUAAGGUAGCGAAAUUCCUUGUCGGGUAAGUUCCGACCCGCACGAAAGGUGCAACGACUUGGGCACUGUCUCAACGAGAGACCCGGUGAAAUUAUAUGACCUGUGAAGAUGCAGGUCCCCCGCGACUGGACGGAAAGACCCCAUGGAGCUUUACUGUAGCUUGAUAUUGGGUUUUCGUAUCGCUUGUACAGGAUAGGCAGGAGCCAAGGAACCCGGAGCGCCAGCUUCGGAGGAGGCGCCGGUGGGAUACUGCCCUUGCGAUAUGAACAUCCUAACCUCGAACCGUGAGCCGGUUCAGGGACAGUGUCUGGUGGGCAGUUUGACUGGGGCGGUCGCCUCCCAAACAGUAACGGAGGCGCCCCAAGGUUCCCUCAGAAUGGUUGGAAAUCAUUCGCAGCGUGCAAAGGCAGAAGGGAGCUUGACUGCGAGACAGACAGGUCGAGCAGGGACGAAAGUCGGGCUUAGUGAUCCGGCGGCACCGUAUGGAAGGGCCGUCGCUCAACGGAUAAAAGCUACCCUGGGGAUAACAGGCUAAUCUCCCCCAAGAGUCCACAUCGACGGGGAGGUUUGGCACCUCGAUGUCGGCUCAUCGCAUCCUGGGGCUGAAGUCGGUCCCAAGGGUUGGGCUGUUCGCCCAUUAAAGCGGUACGCGAGCUGGGUUCAGAACGUCGUGAGACAGUUCGGUCCCUAUCCGUCGCGGGCGCAGGAAAUUUGAGAGGAGCUGUCCUUAGUACGAGAGGACCGGGAUGGACACACCGCUGGUGUACCAGUUGUUCCGCCAGGAGCAUGGCUGGGUAGCUACGUGUGGAUCGGAUAAGUGCUGAAAGCAUCUAAGCACGAAGCCGGCCUCAAGAUGAGAUUUCCCGAGAGACCCCUUAAAGACGAUAAGGUAGAUAGGUCUGAGGUGGACGCGUGGCGACACGUGGAGCUGACAGAUACUAAUCGGUCCAACGGUUUAUCCAC
rnacentral:rRNA from 1 species